CAGGUGCCGGAUAUCAUCUCGUGAAAUUCUAUGGCAGUACUGGCUGUGCCUGAGAAACCUCCUGCCACUCAAGCCCAGCAAGUCUUAUGAAGCAAGCUGCCUACAGAAAUGUCCAUGUGUCAGGAAACUGAAGCUGGCUCAUGGUCAGCAGCCAGCAAGCUACAAAGGGCUUCCAACAGCCCAUGAAGCACUGAGUCCUGCCAAAAGCCACGUGCAUGAGCUUAGAAGAGCUUCAUCCUCCAGGCUAGGAAAGAGACAGUCGGUGUGCAGCAAGAGAAAAGAGAGGAGGAAACAUGUGGAAAGACCCAAAGAAUGAAGACACAAGAGCAUGCCUGAAUGCAAUGGGAAGUAGAUCAGUUGACCUUUGCUGAAUAACAAGGUGGACCUAAAACUGGGUGACUUGAAACACCCCAGUGACAAAGUAAGACCCUGCCUCAAGAAGAAGAAGGAAGAAGAAAGACAAAAAGAAAGAGAAGGAGGAGGAGGAGGAGAAGGAGAAAGAAGGAGAAGAAGGAGAAGGAGAAGAAGAAGAAGAAGAAGAAGAAGAAGAAGAAGAAGAAGAAGAAGAAGAAGAAGAAGAAGAAGGGAAGAAGAAGAAGAAGAAGGAGAAGAAGAGGAAGAAGAAGAAGAAGAGAAGAAGAAGAAAAGGAGGAGGACACUUUAUUGCAUGUAACCUGGUACCAUCUUGAAG
rnacentral:lncRNA from 10 species